UGGUUUUGCUUACCGAUGAAGGACGCGCAAGGCUGCGAUAAUCGACGGGUAGGAGCCACGAUCCUGUGAUCCGUCGGUGUCCGAAUGGAGUAAUCCCCCUCGCGUUAUAGCGAGGGACUGGGGAGUGAAAAUACCUUGCAUUAUGUGCAUGAAAUACAUUUCAAAUUCGAAGCACGAAUAUCGAAAUUCGAAACAAAUUACAAUUUUAAAAAUAUUAAAUUCCAAACUGUUUGGAACAUUAAUAUUUGUGAUUUAGUUAUUAUUUCGGAUUUCGGAUUUAGAAUUUCGGAUGGAAUUGCCGACCAUAGAAAGUGAAAGUCUUGUAUACGAAAUGAUAGAUGACCCUAGGAAUUUCCUAAGUACCACGGUACAAAUAUACCGUGGGAAUCCGGGAGAACCAUCUUCCAAGGCUAAAUAUAAGCAAAGACCGAUAGUGAACUAGUACCGAGAGGGAAAGGCGAAAAGAAGGGUGGAACACCCAGUGAAAUAGAACCUGAAACUGUUUGCGGACAAACCGGUAGAGCUUGUUCGUAGAACGAACGUAAAGAUUUACGCGGAUUUUAGAAAUGGAUUUACGCUGAUAUUAUCAGUGAUGAUCCGCUCUUUAUCUGUGAUAAUCGUUUCGCUCGUUCUGCGAGCGAGUGAUCUAGCCAUGAGCAGGGUGAGUUCCGAUGAAGAUCGGAAGGAAGCCCGAACCCGUUGAUGUUGCAAUAUCUUGGGAUGACUUGUGGAUAGGGGUAAUAUGCCAAACGAACCUGGAGAUAGCUGGUUCUCAGGUCUAUAGGGACCGUGGCACGUCAGGUGUUACCGAUGGUAGAGCUACUGAAUGGGUUUGCAAGGGCAACCGAGUAAACUCAACCAAACUCCGAAUAGCGGUGUACAUUAUCGUGCUAGACAGUCGCAUCGGGCUAAGCUGAUGCGGCGAAAGGGAAACAUCCCAGACUUUCAGCUAAGGCCUCUAAAUCAUAGCUAAGUUUCAAAGGAAGUUCAUUUCCAUAAACAGCCAGGAGGUUGGCUUAGAAGCAGCCACCCUUUAAAGAUAGCGUAACAGCUCACUGGUCGAUGGAAGUGGGCGCCGAAAAUUUAUCGAGGAUCAAGCUAUGUGCCGAAGCUAAAGAUUUUGUGCGUAGCACAAGUACACGAAUUCACGCGAAUUAUCUUUUUCUGUGUAUAUUAGUGUUUGUAUUUGUAAGAGCAAUGUUUUUUAUAAGAACUUACAAGAUACACACAAAUUAACACGAACAAGAAGUAUAUUUGUGUUUAUUAGCGUACUCGCGCUGCGCGCGAAGUGGUAGGGGAGCGUUCCAACAGCGGUGAAAUUAAGCUGUAAGGCUUGGUGGAGCGGUUGGAAGUGAGAAUGCCGGUAUGAGUAGCGCACUAGCACUGUGAGAAUCAGUGCCGCCGAAUACCCAAGGUUUCCCCGCAGACGUUCGUCGUGUGGGGGUUAAUCGGUUACUAACAUGAGCCCCGAUUUUAAUCGGGGGUAAUGGAUGUACAACAGGUUAAAAUUCCUGUAUUUGUUUUGGAUCGAAAGCCUUGUGCGUUGCACAAGAGAUUUAAGAAUAUCGAUUUAUGAUUUAUGACGAAGUCACAAGCUAUGCUUAUGAAUACUUUAUCGUGAAUCCUGAAUCAUGAAUCUUCAUUCUCUCGAGCAGCGCGCGAGUAGCUGGGGAUUGACUGGACGAGAUGAUUGAAGCCCCUUCGUGAAGUGGGGUGCAAGCAUUUAGAUAGUGUUGGUUGGAAAAUCCGCCGACAUGAUAAAUUGAGAUGUUAUGCAGAGCCUAAAGCAAUUUGGGCAAUUUUAACUCAUUUUGUCUACAAGAAAAGGUUCGCAGCGAGAUCCAGAUCAAGCCGUACCGCAAACCGACACAGGUGGGUUGGUCGAGAAGACUAAGGUGAGCGAGAGAAAGAGGCUUAAGGAACUCGGCAAAAAAGCUGGACGUAACUUCGGGAGAUGUCCUGCCUUGUGCGGCGCAAGUCGCGCGAGGCUACAACAAAUGAUUGCUAACCGACUGUUUAUCAAAAACACAGGUCCGUGCAAAGCAGAAAUGCAAAGUAUACGGGCUGACACCUGCCCAGUGCCGGUAAGUUAAGUGGAUUCGUCCCUGCGCAAGCGGGAUGCGAUGAAAUUAAGCUCCGGUAAACGGCAGCAGUAACUAUAACGCCUCUACUCGGCGAAAUUGCGGUGGCUGUGAAGACGCGGCCUUAUUCCACCAGGACAAAAAGACCCCGUGGAGCUUUACUGUAACUUGGUAUUGCUUUCAUAUUUUUCGAUUGUGCAGAAUAGGUGGGAGCUUGUGCGUAGCACAAAAGAUUUAAGAAUAUUGAUUUAAGAUUUAAGAAUAAAAUAACCACAAUUGAUUCAUUAUUUAAUUUUGAAGGUUUGAAUUCAUAAUUCGUAAAUCAUAAAUCUUGAUUCUUUCGCGCUGCGCGCGAGCACCAGUGUAAUACCACCCUUUGAGAAAUGUGAGGCUUACCCAUUCCGCCCGGAAACGGCGGAGGGGAAAGUGCUAGGCUGGCAGUUUUACUGGGGCGGUACCUUGCCAAAAGGUAACGCAAGGAUACAAAGGUUGGCUUAGUACGGAUGGACAUCGUACUGAAUGUAUAAAAGCACAAGCCAGCUUGACUGCGAGAGUGACGGCUCAAGCAGGUACGAAAGUAGGUUUUAGUGAUCCUCCGAUCCUUCGUGGGAGGGACGGAGCUUAAUGGAUAAAAGCUACCCCGGGGAUAACAGAGUAGUCGCACCUGAGCGUCCAUAGCGACGGUGCGGUUCGCUACCUCAAUUUUGACAUCGGGGUCCUCCGAGAGUGAUUUCGGAGUGCUGUUUUUUAAGUUCCCCAGAACUUAUUCCGAUAUAACCCCGUAUCGACUCAAAUUUCAAGAUUAUUAUCUUGUAAUUGGAUGGAAAUUUUACAAUGUUUCCAUAAUACGUCGGACCCCCGCAGUUGUGCGGGGUGAAGGUAUAGACCAGGAUGGAGAAACCUCUGGUGUGCCGGUUGUAGCGUCAGCUGCACCGCCGGGUAGCUAUGUUUCUAAUGGAUAACCGCUGAAAGCAUCUAAGUGGGAAGCCAACUCUAAGAUUAGGAUUCAC
rnacentral:rRNA from 1 species